rnacentral:rRNA from 1 species
ACGCACGCUGGCGGCGUGCUUAACACAUGCAAGUCGAACGGGCCCGCCCCUGUUUUUGGGGGUGGGUUGAGUGGCGAACGGGUGAGUAUCACGUGAGUAACCUGCCCCCUGCUCCUGGAUAACUGCUUGAAAGGGCGGCUAAUACGGGGUGUGCCGGCUGGUCCGCAUGGGCCUGGUCGGGAUAGUUUCAUCUUCGGGUGUUUCGGUGGGGGAUGGGCUCGCGGCCUAUCAGCUUGUUGGUGGGGUGAUGGCCCACCAAGGCGGUGACGGGUAGCCGGCCUGAGAGGGUGGGCGGCCACACUGGGACUGAGACACGGACCAGACUCCUGCGGGAGGCAGCAGUGGGGGGUAUUGCACAAUGGGCGGAAGCCUGAUGCAGCGACGUCGCGUGAGGGAUGGAGGCCUUCGGGUUGUGAACCUCUUUCUCCGGUGGUGAAGGCCCUGUCCGUUGCGGCGGGGUUGACGGUAGCCGGGUAUGAAGCGCCGGCUAACUACGUG